rnacentral:rRNA from 1 species
GAUGAACGCUGGCGGCGUGCCUAAUACAUGCAAGUCGAGCGAAUGGAUUGAGAGCUUGCUCUUAUGAAGUUAGCGGCGGACGGGUGAGUAACACGUGGGUAACCUGCCCAUAAGACUGGGAUAACUCCGGGAAACCGGGGCUAAUACCGGAUAACAUUUUGAACCGCAUGGUUCGAAAUUGAAAGGCGGCUUCGGCUGUCACUUAUGGAUGGACCCGCGUCGCAUUAGCUAGUUGGUGGGGUAACGGCUCACCAAGGCAACGAUGCGUAGCCGACCUGAGAGGGUGAUCGGCCACACUGGGACUGAGACACGGCCCAGACUCCUACGGGAGGCAGCAGUAGGGAAUCUUCCGCAAUGGACGAAAGUCUGACGGAGCAACGCCGCGUGAGUGAUGAAGGCUUUCGGGUCGUAAAACUCUGUUGCUAGGGAAGAACAAGUGCUAGUUGAAUAAGCUGGCACCUUGACGGUACCUAACCAGAAAGCCACGGCUAACUACGUGCCAGCCGCCGCCGUAA